rnacentral:rRNA from 1 species
GGGAGCUUGCUCCUAAUGAGAGUGGCGCACGGGUGCGUAACACGUAUGUAACCUACCAUUGUCAGGGGGAUAGCCUCUCGAAAGAGAGAUUAACACCGCAUAAUAUUAUUGAAUAGCAUUAUUUAAUAAUCAAAUAUUUAUAGGACAAUGAUGGGCAUGCGGGACAUUAGCUAGAUGGUGAGGUAACGGCUCACCAUGGCGACGAUGUCUAGGGGAUCUGAGAGGAUGACCCCCCACACUGGUACUGAGACACGGACCAGACUCCUACGGGAGGCAGCAGUAAGGAAUAUUGGUCAAUGGAGGCAACUCUGAACCAGCCAUGCCGCGUGCAGGAAGACGGCCCUACGGGUUGUAAACUGCUUUUGUACCGGAAUAAACCUUGAUACGUGUAUCGAGCUGAAUGUACGGUAAGAAUAAGGAUCGGCUAACUCCGUGCCAGCAGCCGCGGUAAUACGGAGGAUCCAAGCGUUAUCCGGAUUUAUUGGGUUUAAAGGGUGCGUAGGCGGCUUAUUAAGUCAGGGGUGAAAGGCGGUAGCUUAACUAUCGGAGUGCCCUUGAUACUGAUGAGCUUGAAUGCAGCUGAGGUAGGCGGAAUGUGACAAGUAGCGGUGAAAUGCAUAGAUAUGUCACAGAACACCGAUUGCGA